AAAAAGAAUGAGAUCUUCUGAACAAGCCCGAUCCCGUCUGAUCUCGGAAGCUGAGCAGGGUCGGGCCUGGUUAGUACUUGGAUGGGAGGGAGACCACCUAGGAAGACCAGGUGCUGUAGGCG
rnacentral:rRNA from 1 species